UACGUAGGGUGCAAGCGUUAAUCGGAAUUACUGGGCGUAAAGCGUGCGCAGGCGGUUAUGUAAGACAGAUGUGAAAUCCCCGGGCUCAACCUGGGAACUGCCUUUGUGACUGCAUGGCUAGAGUACGGUAGAGGGGGAUGGAAUUCCGCGUGUAGCAGUGAAAUGCGUAGAUAUGCGGAGGAACACCAAUGGCGAAGGCAAUCCCCUGGACCUGUACUGACGCUCAUGCACGAAAGCGUGGGGAGCAAACAGG
rnacentral:rRNA from 1 species